UACGAAGGGGGCUAGCGUUGUUCGGAUUCAUUGGGCGUAAAGGGUGCGUAGGUGGCGGGGUAAGUCGGAUGUGAAAUCUCGGGGCUCAACCUCGAAACUGCAUUCGAUACUGCCUUGCUAGAGUACUGGAGAGGAGAUCGGAAUUUACGGUGUAGCAGUGAAAUGCGUAGAUAUCGUAAGGAAGACCAGUGGCGAAGGCGGAUCUCUGGACAGUUACUGACACUGAGGCACGAAGGCCAGGGGAGCAAACGGG
rnacentral:rRNA from 1 species